UGAGAGGAAGGAGGAAGAGAAAAGAUACCAGAUGCUUGUGGAAAUGCAGCGUAUCCGUUCCCACGAAGAGAAAAGAGAAAGGGAAACCUUCCUGAGAAACAAGGAGAGGGAGGAAAAGAAAAGGGAGGAGGAGGAGAGAACGAGAGAGAGGGCACAUCUGGCCAAGCAAAAAAGGGAUGCGGACAGAAGGGAGAGAGAGGUGCACAGGAUGGAGAGGGAGAUAGUGGAGAAGAGAAAGGAGGUUGAUCACAGAGUGAUGUCUGUGAACAGGAAGGUGUUCUCUCUCAGGUCCGAGGCUGAACAAAUCAGGAAGGAGAGAAAGUCACUAAGGAUGUUUCAGAGCAAGCUAGAGAACCUGGGACCAAAUAUGGAAGGCCAGAGCAGGGCUCAGAACCAGGGACUAAAUAUGGAAGUCCAGAGCAGGGCUCAGAACCAGGGACUAAAUAUGGAAGUCCAGAGCAGGGCUCAGAACCAGGAACUAAAUAUGGAAGUCCAGAGCAGGGCUCAGAACCAGGGACUAAAUAUGGAAGUCCAGAGCAGGGUUCAGAACCAGGAACUAAAUAUGGAAGUCCAGAGCAGGGUUCAGAACCAGGGACUAAAUAUGGAAGUCCAGAGCAGGGCUCAGAACCAGGUAGUGAGAAUGGAAACUCAGAGCGAGAACCAGGAAGGGAAGAGAAGUGUUAAGCAGAGCGCUGAUCAAGGCAGACAGAAAUGCUCUGUGAAAGCAGACGAGGAGAAAACACGGCAUGACAUUCGAAGAGAGGAAGAAAAGAGGAAAAUCGAGGAGGGGGACAAGAAGGACGAGAUACUGAGUGUGUGAGAUUCGGUGAGAGAGAAGAGAAGGGACAGAGAGAGGAGGAGAGGAAGAGUCGAGAAACUGGGAUUGAUGGUAACAUUGAAAGUGAGGCAGUUGGUUUGAUGGAAGACAACAGAACGAUGCCUGAAGACGGUGUCGGACGGAUUGAGACAGAAAAGGAAAGGAGGAGUGAGAAGGCUGUGAGGGCAGAGGAAAAGGAGGCGUCUGAGGAGAGGGAAAUAAAGUUGGAGAAGAAGAGGAAAAUAGAGGCUAAGCGAGUGAUAGAGGAGGAGGAGAAGAAGUCUGAGGGUGAACAGAGUGAGAAAAAGACAAACGAGACAAAGCAAGAAAAGCAGACUUCCACAGAGACAGAACUGAGUGACUGGGAUGAGGACAGUGAGGAGGAAGAGAUUGGGGCGGUGAAAUUGGAGAUGAAACAGAAGAGCGAGGUCGUGAAGAAGAGGUCUGAGGGUGAACAGAGUGAGAAAAAGACAAAAGAGACAAAGCAAGAAAAGCAGACUUCAACAGAGACAGAACUGAGUGACUGGGAUGAGGACAGUGAGGAGGAAGAGAUUGUGUCGGGGAAAUUGACGAAGAAGAAACAGAAAGAGCUGGAAGAGAGGAAGAAGGAGGAGGAAAGGGUGAGAAAGGAGGAGAAGAAGAAGGAAGAAGAGCGCCUGAUGAAUAGGGAGGAGGACAAGAGGAAAGAGGAGGAGAAGAAGCUACUAGAACAGGUGAGCCUGAAAGUCCUGCAGGAAUCCUGGAAGAAGGCUAAAGGGGAGGACAGGAAGAGAUCUGAGGCACCCAAAAUGGAAGCAGAACAGCAGCGCCAGUGGGCAGUUUUUUUCAGUGAUUUGAGGGAGGAGGAGGAGGAGAACAGGAGGAAGGUGUUCGCUGUCCAGGGGGGAAACCAGAUGUUUCAUAAAAAUCAAGUUGUCAAGAGGACAACACACCAGGACCCAGGAAAUGAGUCAGCAAUAUCGGUGAGUUCAUCUGAGGACACUGGCUCUGAGUGGGAGCGGCAGUGGGAGGAAGAGAAGAGGAGGGAGAAGGAGAGGAAGGAGGAGGAGGAGAAGAGGAAGAGACUGGAAGAUAAGAAGAGGGAGGAGAUGGCGAAGGAACGGGAGGAGCAGAAGAAUAGAGAGGCGGAGGCGAAGUGGCAGGCACGUCUGGUUCCGAAGAAAAAGAAAGGUGUAUUUAAGUCAUUCUUCAACAUUUUCAUGUAAAUGAAAACAUGACAUAUUUUCAUCAUUUGAAUCAAGC
rnacentral:lncRNA from 1 species